AUUGAACGCUGGCGGCAUGCCUUACACAUGCAAGUCGAACGGCAGCACGGGAGCAAUCCUGGUGGCGAGUGGCGAACGGGUGAGUAAAGUAUCGGAACGUGCCCAGUCGUGGGGGAUAACGUAGCGAAAGUUACGCUAAUACCGCAUACGAUCUAUGGAUGAAAGCGGGGGAUCGCAAGACCUCGCGCGAUUGGAGCGGCCGAUAUCAGAUUAGGUAGUUGGUGGGGUAAAGGCUCACCAAGCCGACGAUCUGUAGCUGGUCUGAAAGGACGACCAGACACACGGGGACUGAGACACGGCCCAGACGCCUACGGGAGGCAGGAGUGGGGAAUUUUGGACAAUGGGCGCAAGCUUGAUCCAGCCAUGCCGCGUGCAGGAUGAAGGCCUUCGGGUUGUAAACUGCUUUUGUACGGAACGAAAAGGUUUGACUUAAUACGUUGGACUCAUGACGGUACCGUAAGAAUAAGCACCGGCUAACUACGUGCCAGCCGCCGCCGUAA
rnacentral:rRNA from 1 species